rnacentral:rRNA from 1 species
AAUCUGGUGAGUACAGUGGCGUACGGGUGAGUNACACGUGGAUGAUCUACCUUUUAGUGAGGAAUAACCAAGGGAAACUUUGGCUAAUACCGCAUGAGCUCGAGAGAGGAAAGUCGAAAGACGCUGAAAGAGGAGUCCGCGGCCGAUUAGCUAGUUGGCAGGGUAAAAGCCUACCAAGGCGAAGAUCGGUAGCCGGCCUGAGAGGGCACACGGCCACACUGGCACUGAAACACGGGCCAGACUCCUACGGGAGGCAGCAGUGGGGAAUCUUGCACAAUGGGGGAAACCCUGAUGCAGCGACGCCGCGUGAGCGAUGAAGCCCUUCGGGGUGUAAAGCUCUUUCGGCAGGGAAGAUAGUGACGGUACCUGCAGAAGCAGCUGCGGCUAACUACGUGCCAGCAGCCGCGGUAAUACGUAGGCAGCGAGCGUUGUUCGGAGUUACUGGGCGUAAAGGGUGUGUAGGCGGUUGUUUAAGUUUGGUGUGAAAUCUCCCGGCUCAACUGGGAGGGUGCGCCGAAUACUGAAUGACUUCGAGUGCGGGAGAGGAUAGUGGAAUUCCUGGUGUAGCGGUGAAAUGCGUAGAUAUCAGGAGGAACACCGGUGGUGUAGACGGCUAUCUGGACCGUAACUGACGCUGAGACACGAAAGCGUGGGUAGCAAACAGGAUUAGAUACCCUGGUAGUCCACGCCCUAAACGAUGCAUAUUUGGUGUGGGCAGUUCAUUCUGUCCGUGCCGGAGCUAACGCGUUAAAUAUGCCGCCUGGGGAGUACAGUCGCAAGGCUGAAACUCAAAGGAAUUGAC